ensembl:snoRNA
GACCUCCCAGGAUCGCGUCUGGAGAGUGGUUAGUAUUCUGCCAGCUUCGGAGACGGGAGGGAGAGCAAGCCUGGCAGAGGUACCCAUUCCAUUCCCAGUUUGCUCAGUAGCUGGUGAUUGGAAGACACUCUGCAACAAUG